rnacentral:tRNA from 1 species
GCCCUCAUCAUUCAAUGGAUAGGAUUCAAGCUUCCGAAGCUUGCAAUAUAGGUUCGAUUCCUAUUGAGGGCA